rnacentral:rRNA from 1 species
UGUCUAAAAGGUGUACUACCCUGUUUGGGUAUUCUUGCUGGGCGUCACAUCCCUACGUCCGCACAGUGUCCGGUUUGUAAGAUUGGGUUAGAGGACAUCCAACAUUGCCUCUUCAGUUGCCAGAGAGCGAUGAAAAUCUGGGAAGAACUGGGACUAUCAGAAGACAUCAAGAAAGCUAUCGCCGAAGACCGGUCGGGUUCGAUAACGAUGGAAAUACUGCAAAGAGCCCAAGAUAGUGCAGACGGAUUGCCAAAAGCAGAAUUAUUUGCAGUUGCAGCGUGGUAUAUUUGGUGGCAGAGAAGACAGCUUGUCAAGGGGGAAAGUAUAACGUCCCCGGAGCGUACUGCUACUACUAUCAAGGUACUGUGUACAAACUUCUUCCGAGCUUCAAAAACUAAUAUACCAGAUAGAAAACGAGAGCAGAUGUGGAGGAAACCACCUAGAGGAUGGGUGAAGAUUAACGUCGAUGCCUAG